UCUUCAUCUAUUUGCAUUCCAGCAGGUCAAGUAACAGAUGACACAAACAACAACUCUGCAAGCAAUUUUUUGAUGUGGACUAGACAUGCAAUUAAGCUGUUUGGGACCACACUGCAAAUCUUUUUAUUCUCCAUGCCUGAAGUCCUCAUCAUACAGGCUUUUGAAAUCUGUCUUAGAGAUCUCAGUGCACAUCAGACCCAAAUCUCUAACCCAAUACAUUUCCCAGCACACCACUUGAAAAGAAGACUCUGCCCCUUGAUCCCAAUAUACACAAAAACCGUAAGAGAUCUGCAGGGCAAAGCACUGCCUAAUUAUUUCUUUGUCUGUAUCUGUUAUUUCCCAAUAAUAGAUACAGUGCUGCUGCUCUGGAUCCUGACCCCCAUUAUAGUGAUACAAUGCAGCAGCUCCACUGACUUUCUCAUUUGUGCCAUCCAGAAAGGUGCUGCAGCAUGAGCCGCUGUCCUGCCAUGCAUUUGUCUUUCAUUUCCAUGCAUUUCUUGCCUGAUACCAGAGUGGCAGUAACACUGGCACAGUUCAUCCUUCACCUCUUCUUGGCAUGAUUUAUGCGCAUCAUACAGCAACUCCACUAGAGAUUGUUCUCAUUUACACUGGGCUCCAGCAUGUUUUCUCCUCAAACUAGCUCGAUACCUUUAAAUAGAAGCAGCACUUGAGCAGAGGAAUGAAACCAAGAGUCGAAACGGGGAGAAACAAGUGCCUGGGCACCAUGGCAUUAGUAGUGAAUCUCACAGUAGCCCCAUUUCCCCUUUAAACUUUGUAAAGGAUACACACACUGUGCCUAUGGAAUCUCACUGUACACAUGGCUUUUGAUUAAAAAAUGGAAAUGUAUGGAUAUGGUUUAUAGCUUGUAUAAUGGUGCUGAGAAUCUGGUUGGAUUGAAGUUUGGUUUGAAAUGGGACAUAAAUUUGAACAGAAAUUUUAGCCAGUUUUGUGCUGAAAUUUGAAAGAAUGUACUGGCUUGUCCUCCUUCCAAACUCUGUCUUAACACUUAAUAGGCUGCCUGUUGUUAUAGGACAGUGGUAUUCUAAUUGCAAUUAGUGGUUUAGGGGGAUUUUAAUUGCAAUGUAGUGGGGAGCACUGCCUCUAGGUUACAGUUUCAUUAAGGUGGUGUUACCUGAAUGACAAACAGUGAUAGGUGGCUUCUUCUGAUUUAGGAAAAUUUGCCCCUGAAGAAAUAAAAUUCAAUUACAAUGGAGCAUUCCUAACAAACAAACAAACAAAAACCAAAUGAGGAGAUCUACCUGUUAAGCUGAUUUGUCUUGCCUAGUACAGGAAAGCAAAUGCAGAGAGGCAAUAUACAAUAUUUCAAGCAGGUAAACGCUGGCAAGAGAAAAAAGCAACGGAGGUAGUAUAAAAUGGUGUGAUUAAUUUGAGACUGAAAAUGAGACGAACACUUCUAAGCAUCAGAAGAAUGAAGUAGCUGUUUACAGUAAAAGAGAUCAGAGCAAGGCAUCAAUCUGGCUUCAAGAUGAAAAGUUUAUCUCUGUCUAUAGUGUGAGCUGGGAUUUGAUGAGGGAGUAGGGUCUUGGUCAUGUUUCUCAAAGAUCUGAACAAUUUACUUUCUUCAGUGUCAGCGUCAAGAUAAUUUUCAAAGAGAAGAAAAAUAAGGAGAUAAUGGAGGGGAGAAAAGAAGGAAGUGGCAUAAGGAAGGAAGUGGCGGAAGUGGCGGAAGUAGCGAAAGGAAGGAAGUGGCAGAAGAGGCGGAAGGAAGUGGCGGAAGGAAAGAAAGAAAGAGAGAAAGAAAGAGAGAGAGAAAGAGAGAAAGAAAGGGAGAAAGAAAGGGAGAGAGAAAGGGAGAGACAAAGGGAGAAAGAAAAAAAGAAAGAAAGAAAGAAAGAAAGAAAGAAAGAAAGAAAGAAAGAAAGAAAGAAAGAAAGAAAGAAAGAAAGAAAGAAAGAAAGAAAGAGAAAAAGAAAGGUGUAAUUGUAAUAACCUCCUAAACUAAAACCAGCUACACCUAAAGCCCAGAUAACUUCAGAGAAGCUGAUUUACUAAAGCUUUCUAACGUUUCACAUAAUCAAUUGCAUCUCACCAUUGCUUGACUAUUGUUUAACAUACAAGAGCAAUAUAGUUCCAGACCUUGCUUGGGGCAGGUAAUGAUGGUGUGUUUGUGUGGGAUGGAGCAGUAAUUCAUUUCAGACACGGAGGUAAUUCAUUGCAGACACUCUUUAAGAGACUGGGGGGAGAAAAUAAAAUGACAGAUGAUUUUAUAAUAGUUCAGUAUUAUUUUUUUUAGCUGUUGACCCUGGAACUGGUAAUAGCAGGAAAUGGAAAGAUUAGCAUAAAGAAUGGUCAUUGAUACUUGGGGUCUGAUAGCAAUUUUUGCUCAGCUCUAUACUUAUUUGAAAGGAAUGAAGCAUUAAAAACAGCCAAGGUUUUCUUUCUUGCACAUAUACAGUCUUACAGCUCUUAUGGAAAGUGUAAAAUGGGUGAACAGGAAUUAUGCCAAAGGGUUUCACAGGAAUAACUCUGAACUCACAUUAAACAUGACAGAGAAUUAGGUCUUUUUCUCUUCUAAAUUGAGUAAGACAUUUCAGAAACCUACAGAUAAUCCAUCUUUUUCCAUUAAAUUAUUUGUUUUUUCAUAUGAGGAGAAAAGCUUGAUUUUGUUUACAGUCUGUUUAGUAAUAUAACCUGGAUCUGCACAUAAAUUAAAAGAGUGCAUAUUCAUACCCAGACAAAUAGCUAAAUAAUAAUAUAGAAAUGAGAUUAUUCUAGGUAAGUCAGAGAUGGAAUUUUUGGGAGGAUACAAGGAAUCUACCUAAAACAUGAUAAGAAUCAAGACGGCUCUUUAAGAUGCAUCCUCAGAAUGUUUUAACUGAAUGGACAAGUGACCUUUAAAGGCUAAUGUGGGAAUCAUGAUUUGUUAAGUUAGGUUCAAAUCUGCAAUGUAAUGCUGUCUAUCCAGGCAACAGUAAGUCCAUCAGAAUUAUUGUAUACUAAAGAAGAACUGAAGUGGUUUAGGCUCAUUCACACUUGAACUGCUCAGUUCAGCCAGCAGAUUUAUCUCCCACCUCAGCAGACACUCCUGCUGCCUAAGCUCUGGUCUGACAAUCUAGCUGGUCCCUUUCCCUAUUGCAGUUCUGAACUUAUGGGGCAACUUCAGUGAUGCAACAGGUUAUUCACAGCUCUUUUGCAUAGCUGUCUGGGUUAAAUAUACAAAACAGGUGAUGUGAAUUGAAAUAUAUCCUAUAUAACCUUGUAAUCUUCCCCUUUCUGUCAUUACAUGAGCCUGGUGUGAAAAACAGUCAAGGAAGGAUGGAUGCACCUUAAUUAGGAGGGAAUACCAUCAAUGGAUGACACAACCUGGCUAAGCGUUAACAGUUGCACAGUUCACAAAACUGAUGUGAUCUAUAGUAACAGACAACUACUUGUGUGACUUUGAGAUUUUAGGGCUUUAAAUGCCUAAAGGAGUCAAGGUGAAGAGAUACUGGAUAAGGAAAUGGAAACUCCUGAAAACGGUCAUUUUUCUAGUCCUGCUAUCAAGUCUGGGAAACUCCUGCAGCAUUCUCACCAUAAUGUGAAAAAUAAAGCAGUCAGAUGUUAUAUGACUGUCUUAAUUGUGGCAAUCGUGCAUUUUUCAGCACAAAGAAGGAGGAUGCUGCUGCUUUUACAUUAAAGGGAGAGUGAGUUUUAUGAGUCAUAAAAUAGAAGGAAACACAGGAACAUUAUCUUACUGGCUGUAAAAACAAGAAAAAAAGAGGAAAAAAGAAAAAUAUGAUGUGAAGACUUUCAGGGCUUAUCCUGAAAAACAUAGAUGCUGGAGGCAUUCAGUAGCUCUUUUGACUGGCUUUUUUUCAGGGAAUAGCAUUGAUGACAAAAUCCUUUGAGCUGAGGAUUCAUCCCAACAUCCCUAGAAGUGAGGAACAGAGGCAUUACUGCACCAGGACUAACUAAGACACCACUUAGGAAGGGACCCUCUGCAGCAGUCAAGGCAUAUUACAUCUCCCAACAAAUGUACAAAAGCAUGUGUUCCCAGGAAAUUUCUUCCCUUUCUCAUAUGCUGUUCUCUUUAAAGCCUGUUCUACAAACACUUGCUGCUUGACUUCCUUCCUGACACCACGAGGAGUCCCAUUUAAUUAACCUGGCAGCCUACGGUGGAGAAAAUAGACUGCGGCUUGUAAGUGUGGGGAUUGACAGUCUCUGCAAGCUGCCUUGGUUUGCUCAGUUAAUAAAAAUGGAGUUUGAAAACUGGUUCUGAUUAGGCAGGUCAAAUAAUGAAAAUACUCUAAGACCAGAAUGUACCUGAGGAUUGCACUGCAGAACAAAACAGCCCAUAGAAAUCACCAGAAGAAUGGCAGCUCAAGGCAGAUGGAACCUACUAGGUACCGCUGGGUUUGGAGGUGCUGCCGUCGUGCUGCAAAUGGAACUGCAAAAAUUGUGGGAGAUGAACAGCCAGGGAGAG